CACCGCCUGGGGAGUACGACCGCAAGGUUAAAACUCAAAUGAAUUGACGGGGACCCGCACAAGUAGUGGAGCAUGUGGUUUAAUUCGAAGAUACGCGCAGAACCUUACCAACACUUGACAUGUUCGUCGCGACUUUAAGAGAUUAAAGUUUUCGGUUCGGCCGGACGAAACACAGGUGCUGCAUGGCUGUCGUCAGCUCGUGUCGUGAGAUGUUGGGUUAAGUCCCGCAACGAGCGCAACCCUCACUUUUAGUUGCCAUCAUUAAGUUGGGCACUCUGAAAGAACUGCCAGUGAUAAGCUGGAGGAAGGUGGGGAUGACGUCAAGUCCUCAUGGCCCUUACGUGUUGGGCUACACACGUGCUACAAUGGUAUCUACAACAGGAAGCAAGACGGCGACGUUAAGCAAAUCCUUAAAAGAUACCUCAGUUCGGAUUGCACUCUGCAACUCGAGUGCAUGAAGCUGGAAUUACUAGUAAUCGUGGAUCAGCGUGCCACGGUGAAUGCGUUCCCGGGUCUUGUACACACCGCCCGUCACACCAUGGGAGUUGGUUCUACCUUAAGGCAAGGUUUUAAACCCUUGACCACGGUAUAGUCAGCGACUGGGGUGAAGUCGUAACAAGGUAGCCGUAGGGGAACCUGCGGCUGGAUUACCUCCUUUCUAAGGAUGAAUGAAAGUAAAAUUUUGUUCUAAAUAAUAUACAGGUAAUGUUGACCGUCCUCAUUUCUCUUCUUAAAAUAGUGUUUCUCUUGCAUGGGGGCCGGUAGCUCAGUUGGUUAGAGCACACCCUUGAUAAGGGUGGGGUCGAAAGUUCGAGUCUUUCUCGGCCCACCAAAAUAAGAUCAUGGGGGAUUAGCUCAGCUGGGAGAGCGCCUGAUUUGCAUUCAGGAGGUCAGCGGUUCGAUCCCGCUAUCCUCCACCAAAACACUUAGUUAUAGAAAAUCGUAAAAAAUAAAUUAUUAAUAUCAAUAUCUAUAUCCGAACAUUAGAAAUGUUAUUAGCUAAUGUUUAAAUAAAAAUUUGAUUCAACACAGAAUUUUUUUCUG
rnacentral:sRNA from 1 species